UCUCCUGUAGCUCAGUGGUAGAGCGUCUGAACGUUGUCCGGAAGGUCAUAAAUUUGACUCCUGUUGGGAGAA